CCCGCCCGCGCGGGGCGGGCUGGGCAGCCCCGUGGCGGGGCAGGAGAAGGGGCGGAGCCACAUCAUGGCCGCCGGCCGCCUUCCGCCGGGCGCGCUCACCCUCAAGCAGUUCCUGAGGCGGCAGCAGGUCCUUCAGCUCUACCGCAAGAUCCUGCGGGCUAUCCGGGAGGUCCCUGCGGAGCAGGAUCGCCGCUACUUAAAGGACUGGGCCAGGGAGGAAUUCAGGAGAAAUAAGGAUGCUACAGAAGAGGUGUCGCUUCCAGACUGGUCAGAACUCCUGCUGCCUCAUCUAUGCGAAGAAAUAAUCCAGCAUAUCUAAACUUCCCUCUUAGCAGUAGUAAUGUUUCUCAAAAUCACAGACAAUAAUCUGGAAAUAAAAACCCAAAGAACAAACACUCUGCUCAAAUUGCAGAUAAGGAGAACAGUAUUGAAUAAUACGGAUGCAAUCAGGAUGAUGAUUACUCAAGGCAACAUGCAACUUCAGGAACUUCAGAGAACACUUAAGCUGGCGAAAUCCUGAUCUUCAUUUUGCUGGCAAUUAGAUUUUCAUCUGUUGUAAAUAAACUGUUUUUUCCAAAAUGUGGUUAUAAUGGCAGCCUUUGCUGGCAACCUGCUAAUGUUUGAAGGAGGAAUCUACCACAGUGGGGGUUUGGUUUUCUCCCCUUCCCCAUCCAUUUCUCAGUUUGGGUACCCUCAGAAGUGGAAAUCACUUGGAUCACAAAGAACAUUUAAGAACUGCAUGGAUGAUAUAGCGUGUGCUGCAGGAAAAGCAGAAAGUACCAAAAAUUUCAACAGCUGUGUUAAUGCCAGUGCAAUGGAAAAUAAAUGUAUACUGUUUUGUCUGUGUUUUACUGUG